AGUAUAACGACGAGCCGCAGCCUGCCACACUUUCGCUUGCUCAGUCGGGCACCCCUACCACCGGCCGGGUGACUGCGUGUCGUUCCAGGCCAGGAAGCCUUAUCCGGGUUGUGUGAUGACGGCGGCCGGGCAGGAGCCACAAGCGCCCCCACCCCUCCGGGCUGGGGGUCGGCGCCGCGCUCCGCUUGGAAACGCUCCCGAUCGCACCGGGGCGUCGCGGCACCGCCAGCUCAGCACCGGGCCGGGCACGAGGCGGGGACCCCCAGAAACAUACCGAAACCGUCUCCAUGGCUGCCUCUGAAAUAAAGCGGUGCAGUGCUGGGCCCUAGGACUUCAGAGAGGAAACGUCAGGGUUCCUGCUCUUGGGAGACUCUCAUUUCUGCUUGGGAAGCAGGCGCUCAAACUUCACGAAGCCAGAUUUCUGCAUCAUUACAAUGCCUGGCAUGCAGGAGGCCAAUAAAUGUUUGUUGAAUGAAUGGAUCUGUUAAA